GCCUACGGGGGGCAGCAGUGGGGAAUCUUCCGCAAUGGGCGAAAGCCUGACGGAGCAACGCCGCGUGAUCGAAUGAAGGCCUUCGGGUUGUAAAGAUCUGUUGACAGGGACGAACAAGCAAUGCGAAUAGUUUUGUGUAUGACGGUACCUGUUUAGAAAGCUCCGGCUAACUACGUGCCAGCAGCCGCGGUAAUACGUAGGGAGCGAGCGUUAUCCGGAAUUAUUGGGCGUAAAGGGUGCGUAGAUGGCAUAGUAAGUCUUUUGUAAAAAUGCUGGGCUCAACCCAGUAGGGCAAAAGAUACUGC
rnacentral:rRNA from 1 species